CUCCUCUCCCUCGUUGAGCUCUGGCAACCUUACUUACCGGCAGGAACACAACACUAUGAGUAGGGUCUAGUGUUAUUUGGCUGCGGUUUUCUGUAAGGUGGAGUGUCACUUGAAUUCUGGUUAGGGUUUGCAUUAUUAUUAUACCCAGACGACCUGGAUGAUGCCCAGGGUCACAUGAUGGAGUCAGGAGUUAGUUACCAGAACUCCUAAUCUACUUAUUAUAACCCCAUCGUGUUUGGGCUCAUUCGAUUUGCGCUGACGAGCACCAUCGAUCUAGAUGAGGUCCAGGGUCUCAUGAUGGAGUCAGGAGUUGGUCACCAGAACUGCUAAUCUACUCAUCAUAACUCCAUCGUGUUUGGGCUUAAUAGAUUUGCCUUGACGAGCACCAUCGAUCUAGAUGAGGUCCAGGGUCUCAUGAUAGAGUCAGGAGUUGGUCACCAGAACUCCUAAUCUACUCAUCAUAACUCCAUCGUGUUUAGGCUCAAUAGAUUUGCCUUGACGAGCACCAUCGAUCUAGAUGAGGUCCAGGGUCUCAUGAUGGAGUCAGGAAUUGGUCACCAGAACUGCUAAUCUACUCAUCAUAACUCCAUCGUGUUUGGGCUCAAUAGAUUUGCCUUGACGAGCACCAUCGAUCUAGAUGAGGUCCAAGGUCUCAUGAUGGAGUCAGGAGUUGGUCACCAGAACUGCUAAUCUACUCAUCAUAACUCCAUCGUGUUUGGGCUCAAUAGAUUUACCUGGACGAGCACCAUCGAUCUAGAUGAGGUCCAGGGUCUCAUGAUAGAGUCAGGAGUUGGUCACCAGAACUCAUAAUCUACUCAUCAUAACUCCAUCGUGUUUGGGCUCAAUAGAUUUGCCUUGACGAGCACCAUCGAUCUAGAUGAGGUCCAGGGUCUCAUGAUGGAGUCAGGAAUUGGUCACCAGAACUGCUAAUCUACUCAUCAUAACUCCAUCGUGUUUGGGCUCAAUAGAUUUGCCUUGACGAGCACCAUCGAUCUAGAUGAGGUCCAGGGUCUCAUGAUGGAGUCAGGAGUUGGUCACCAGAACUGCUAAUCUACUCAUCAUAACUCCAUCGUGUUUGGGCUCAAUAGAUUUGCCUUGACGAGCACCAUCGAUCUAGAUGAGGUCCAGGGUCUCAUGAUGGAGUCAGGAGUUGGUCACCAGAACUGCUAAUCUACUCAUCAUAACUCCAUCGUGUUUGGGCUCAAUAGAUUUGCCUUGACGAGCACCAUCGAUCUAGAUGAGGUCCAGGGUCUCAUGAUGGAGUCAGGAGUUGGUCACCGGAACUCCUAAUCUACUCA